rnacentral:rRNA from 1 species
UACGUAGGUGGCGAGCGUUAUCCGGAAUUAUUGGGCGUAAAGAGGGAGCAGGCGGCGGCAGAGGUCUGUGGUGAAAGACUGAAGCUUAACUUCAGUAAGCCAUAGAAACCGGGCUGCUAGAGUGCAGGAGAGGAUCGUGGAAUUCCAUGUGUAGCGGUGAAAUGCGUAGAUAUAUGGAGGAACACCAGUGGCGAAGGCGACGGUUUGGCCUGUAACUGACGCUCAUUCCCGAAAGCGUGGGGAGCAAAUAGG